GAUCACACUUUGGGCUACUGGGAGCAAGUGAGAGAGACUGGGAUGAUGCUGCAAGCAAACUGGAGAAACUGGGAAGGACUGGAUGCAUGCUGGAGGCAACUGGGAUAUACUGGGCAUGACUGGGGGAUCAUUCUGAGAGAACUGACACCUUACUGGGGCCACUGGCAGUGCCUGGAAAUGACUACAGACAUGCUGGGGACAACUGGGAUAUACUGGGAGUGACUGUCACCAUACUGGGGGGACUGGAACCACACUGGGAACAACUGGGACCAUGCUGGGGAGAACGGGGCCCACACUGGGGGCAACUGGGAGUGAGUGGGUAUAGUAGGAGUCCUAGUAAAAUCUAUGUAUUGUAUAAGUGGCCGUGCCCUGAUCCUAAUUGUAAAUGGGCUGCAGCUGUGAUGUCCUUAAUUGGGUGGCUGCUGUGGCUAAUGAAGAUAACUGGGAUAAAAGGGAGUGGGGUGGCUGUGCAGGGAGAGUCUUGGAGGAGCCCUGACCAAGAAGCAGGAGCAACACUGCUGUGAAGAGCUGUGUGUGAGAAGAGCACCCUGAAGCUUUGGAAUAUAUAUAAAGGAAAUAUGCUUAUCUCACGCCUUAUUGAAGCAGAGAAAAGCAGCUUGAGAAAGGAAGAUGAACAUCACCUCAAGGGUUUAUGGUUUCAACCAAAGGGAAGCUGGACAUCACUGUUAUGAGAUUUAUAGUCUCUGCAAUUAAAAGGUGGACACACAUCUGGGGAGCUGGACCCCACCAGAUGGGAUUUGUCUUUCUUCUUUCGGAAACUAGACCAUCAACAUCUGGGGAUACUCCUUUGAGAUACAUCCUGAGAAAUUAAAAUCACAAUAGUGUAUAGAAUUGUGGUGUAAUAAUUUGGAAUAAAAAUUGCUGAUGAGUAAAAGAUUAGAAAUAGAAACUACUGAAAAAAGCUGAUGACUACCCCUAUAAAUACCUGUAACCAUCAAUUAUCGGCGUACAGUUAGAGAGAAAACUUCCCCCACUGUACCCGGCGCUGUAUUGCUCAUACUUUACCAUAUUAAAAAAUAAAUUGAUUGCUGCUUGAA